AUACUUUGUAUAAUCAUGUAUAAACAUGAAACCAAUUCAAAUUGCAGUGUAUAAAAAAUGUAUAUGUUCUGUAUAGCUAUAUGUAACUUGUUCAACAUUUUUUGUAACUUUAUAUACACUAUUAUACAUUACAUAUACAUUCUUAUAUAUUAUAUAUAAUGUACACAUAAUAUAUAUCCUUUGUAUAACUAUGUAUAAACAAUGUAUUCCUUGGGGGACCAAAAAAUUAUCGCCAGAAAAUCAACCAUAACCAGGUCCACUGGCCAGAAAUCUUCUCCAGCUCCUUCCAACUCCGAAAUCCACCGGAUUUGAGGCUCUCUUUCAAUUCUUGUUGAGCCAAGCAGUAAAAAUCUCCUUGAUCGCCACUUCUCUGUCAUCGACUCGGUGGCACGCCUUCCACACGAUUGAGAAAGACACCGCCCUAAUUUGCUUUUUCAACCACAUAGUCCCCAACCUCAAAUCUCUCACAUCUGCUUAUCGAUUGAGCUAUAGCGCCUCAAAGAUCCCCAAACCCUAACAAUUUUGAGUAAUCAAAUUAAUAUUGAGAUUCUGACAUUUGUAGAACAAAGCAAUCCCUGAGUUCCGAAUUUCCAGAAACAAACAAGGUUAAGAAUAUUGGGGAAAUCGUAUUUAAGUUGAGCUCGCCGGAGAAUCGCGAUGAACUGAUAUGCCUAGUUCACAAUUUUGGGACUUCUGGAUAUUGCCCUACCAGAGCAUUAGCCGUUAAAACGAUCAUGCCGCACAGAGUUACAAUAGAUGAGCAAGUCAGCCUGAUCGACGAUCGAAAAAGCACUCAGUUGUACGGUGGUCAACUAGAAGAAGUGGGCAUGGUACGCGAACAGUAGAAAUUGAAAGUUGGCUAAAAUUUCGAUAAUUUAGAUUGCCGAAAGGUUACAUGGGUAAGAAGUGGGUGGUUGGGUUAAAAAUGGCAAACUAGAUGCCUGACUGGUAUCUGUGUGUAAUUAUCUGUUGAUGAAAUUGCACGAAUUUCCUUCAAAUGGCAGGUCUUUAAUUUUUACCCUUUAAAUGGGUUGGUCUUUAACUUUUGCCCUUUGGCAAUUUAACUUAUGUUUAGUGGAGCAUAAUUUUUUUUAAGGGGACAAUUCGUGCGGGACAUAACUUGUGGGAUAUUAUGAUGUGAAAAUAUAAAUUUAUGUGCCGCGACCAUUUAAAGCAUUAAUUACUCCUAAUUAACAACUCGUUCCGUUUACUUUUACUUGUCUACUUUUGACUUUGAAUGCCUCUU